AUGGCGGAGACGGCGAUCACGGCGGUGCUCUCCAAGUUCGGGCAGCUGGUGGCGAGCGAGGCCAACAUGCUGCUUCAAGUGGGCGAUGACAUGAUGCUCAUGCGCGACCGUCUUGAGUGGCUCCAGGCCUUCAUCCGCGGCACCGACCCGUUGAGCCAGGUGUGGCUGCGCCAGACGCGCGAUAUCGCCUUCCAAGCUGAGGAUGUACUCGACCAGGUUGACCUUAAAAGCAAGGGUUAUCGAGGUUGGAAAGUAUGGCAAAAAUAUUUGACUGGUUUGUGCACCCAAAUCGCCAUUCGACACAGGUUGUCUGUCCGAAUCAAAAUAAUCAAUAGAAGACUACAAAAAAUGUUGGAGAACCAAAAGGAAUACAAGAUUGAGCAUAGACCAUUAGCGACAUUGGCAUCAUCCACUACGGCCACAUCAGCAUGGCGGGAUGGUUAUAAGAACGCGGUGGGUUUGGAUGAAGAUGUGAAGACACUUGAGAAAAUGCUGCUUCAUAAAGAUCAACCUCAGCAAAUGUUUGUGUCCAUACUUGGGGAGAGUGGUGUCGGAAAGAAAACACUAUUAUGUGCUAUCAUCGGACAUACUGAUGUGAUUUAUGAGUUUGAAAUUGUAGUUUGGUUCAACAUGCCGGCAGAUUACACCACAGAAGAUCUCCUCCAAGAAAUCUACGAUAGAGCAUGUGAAAGUGCACCACAACAUCAUCCAAAUGAAGGCAUUAAUAUCGCUGAUAAGCUCCGACACCUCCUGAAGAAAAAGAGGUAUUUGGUGAUUAUCGGAGGCAUAUGCUCCAAAACCAUCCUCAACUGUGUGAGGGUGAGCCUACCAGAUGACAAUAAUGGUAGCCGUGUUGUGCUCGUGUUGGACACUGAGAGCGAAGAAGUAGCAUGGCAUGCUAACACCAUGAACAAAGAUGGCAUAAAUGGAAUCCACAUGUUGGGCCGUUUGGAUGAAAAGAGAAGUAGGCAAUUGUUCUGUUCGAGGGCCUCGAGGAAAGAAUUGUCCGAUGUGAAGGAAAACGGGGAAAUGAGCAAAUACAGCAAAAUUGUGUACGAUAUAACUGGGGGCUACCCUCUGGCUAUAGUGCUCCUGGCUGGACUCCUCCGAUUCAAGGAGAAGCCAGGGCAGUGGGAAGCAGUGCUGCAACAGCUCAGGCUUAUACCAAGAAUGGAAGAUGCACAAGGUGUUGAGGAAAACAAGAUAACUGAAUCUGUACUGUCCAAGGGGGUGCAUAUCGAGUGGCAGAUGAGCCCUAUAACAAAAAGUAAGCUCUCCACAAGAACAACCACCAUCGAGAGGGUCUUCUGGGCAAGUUUUGAAGACAUUCCAAAUGACCUCAAGUCUUGCUUCCUCUACUUGGCCGCCAUCCCAAAGAACACAACUAUAUAUACUGAUGAGGUUGUGAGGAUUUGGAUGGCUGAGGGUUUCAUCAAGCCGCAGCAGGGCAAGACUUUGGAGGAGCUGGGUCACGCCUACCUCAAGGAACUGGUCUUGAGAUGCCUUGUUCAUAUUGAUAAGAUGAACGAUGUUGGCAUAAUUGAGAAGGUCGUCGUUCACCAAAGCCUCUAUGGUUUCCUCCAUUCAGAGGCUCGCGAGGCUGGAUUCAUGGAUGUUCAUGGCAUGCAUGACGUCUUUGUUCCACCAUCGGUGCGCCGGCUCUCUUUCAUGAGUUUCAAAGGUGGACAUAUGAUGAGAUUCACCAACAAGUUCUGUAAGCUACGUUCCAUCAUAUGCUGGGUCCAGGAGAAAGACCGGAGCAAUGACGGCCAAGGAGUGAACCAGAAGCGCCGACAUGAUCUCAAGUUUCUUUGUGGGUCCAAGUUCAUUCGUGUAAUCUCUGUACAUGGAUUAUGGAUUAAGGAAGUGCCGAAUGAGAUUGGUCGCGUGGUACACUUGCGAUACCUAAAUGUUAGUGGCUGCAAGGACCUGAAGAAGCUUCCCUCCAGCAUCAAGAGCCUGCUCAACUUGCAGACACUAGACAUAACGGGGACUCAAGUCAAGGAGAUUCACCCAUCCUUCUGGAAGAUAAAGACGUUGCGCCAUGUGUUUGCAGACGAGCUCACACUUCCAGCAUCCAUCAAGGAAGAACUGGAGGAGCUGCAGACGCUAUGGGGUGUAAAACCUGCCCCAGCAGGAGAAUGGGUUCAAGGGAAUUGCCCACUGCACAAGAUGACCAAACUCCGGACACUGGGUCUGCAAGGAUUCAAGCAAUCUAAACAUGGGGCCGCACUUGAGAGUGCUCUGAGGAAGAUGAGUCUCCUUCACCACUUGGACUUGACAGGCGAUGAGAUCCCUUCAUGUGUCUUCACGGCACAAAACCUUCGAUGCCUUGAGAUGGUAGGGCUUCGUGGCACAAUCAAAUGGCCCGAGGUUGUGUCGGAUGUUCGCAAGGUCCGGCCGAACCUCGUUCGGCUCACAGUGGUAAAGGGUAACGGCCAGGAGGUGCCCGAGCAUAUCAAGGACCAACUGCACGGGAUACUAGAGGUAAGCGGUCCAUAG
rnacentral:rRNA from 1 species